GAAGGAGAAGAAGAGCGCCCCGAUCCCCUCCCCCUCCCCCUCCAGAUCACACCACCACCGUCUCCGCCCCCAAAUCCAUUCCCAGGCCCGCGUCUCUGCUGCCGCGCGCGAGCUCGUGAGCUCGGGCUGGGUUUUAGGGCUCCAGGUCUCCGCGUCCCCGCGCCCUCCGCCUACCGGGGUUAGGGUUACGCCGCGGUCGUCGGGGACCGUGUGGCUGCGGGGCGCCGCGGGCCGAUGCGGCGAUCGCCGGCGAUCGAGACGCUCUAGCGGAGGGGAUCUGCUGCCGCUGCGGUUUCUCCUGCGAUGGCCGCCGACGCGCUCUCCAUCAUCCCGGGCGCCGUGCUGCGCAACCUCGCCGACAAGCUCUACGAGAAGCGGAAGAACGCCGCGCUCGAGAUUGAGGGGAUCGUGAAGCAGCUGUCCACGGCGGGGGAGCACGACAAGAUUGCGGCUGUGAUCGGGCUGCUCACAAACGAUUUCACAUACUCCCCCCAGGCGAACCACCGGAAGCAGGGCGGAUUGAUUGGGCUCGCGGCAGUUACUGUAGGCCUCACCAGUGAGGCUGCUCAGCACCUCGAGCUAAUUGUACCUCCCGUGCUUAAUUCUUUCCUGGACCAAGAUAGCAGAGUGCGCUACUAUGCCUGUGAAGCGCUAUAUAACAUAGCAAAGGUUGUAAGAGGGGAUUUUAUCAUCUACUUCAACAAGAUUUUUGAUGCGCUAUGCAAACUGUCUGCAGAUUCUGAUGCAAAUGUGCAGAGUGCAGCUCAUCUUCUUGACAGGCUUGUCAAGGAUAUUGUAACUGAGAGUGAUCAAUUCAGCAUAGAAGAAUUUAUACCACUCUUGAGAGAACGCAUGAAUGUGCUGAAUCCUUAUGUGCGACAAUUUUUGGUGGGAUGGAUCACGGUUUUAGACAGUGUGCCUGAUAUUGACAUGCUUGGUUUCCUUCCUGAUUUUCUUGAUGGCUUAUUUAAUAUGCUGAGUGAUUCCAGUCAUGAGAUAAGGCAGCAAGCAGAUGCAGCACUUUCAGAGUUUCUGCAGGAAAUAAAAAAUUCACCAAAUGUAGAUUAUGGUCGUAUGGCUGAAAUUCUUGUUAGGAGGGCAGGCUCUCCUGAUGAAUUCACUCGUUUGACAUCUAUCACAUGGAUCAACGAGUUUGUGAAACUUGGUGGGGAACAACUAGUCCCUUACUAUGCAGAUAUCUUGGGAGCUAUCUUGCCAUGCAUCUCUGACGAGGAGGAGAAAAUUCGAGUGGUUGCACGUGAAACUAAUGAGGAACUUCGAGCUAUAAAAGCUGAUCAAGCCGAGGGAUUUGACAUUGGAGCGAUUCUUGUGAUCGCAAAGAGAGAAUUGAAUAGCGAACAUGAAGCCACUCGGAUUGAGGCAUUGCACUGGUUUUCCACUUUACUAGUUCGAGGUCGUGCUGAGUUCUCGGCAUACCUGGAUGGCAUUUUUGAACCACUUCUAAAUGCACUCUCCGAUCCUUCAGAUGCGGUUGUCCUUUUAGUGUUGGAAGUUCAUGCACGCAUAGCUGAAGAGUAUCAUCACUUCCAGCAUCUCAUGUCUUACUUAAUCCACACUUUCCACAACAAUCAUGUUCUUCUGGAGAAGCGUGGUGCUUUGAUUGUUCGUCGACUUUGUGUUCUUCUGGGUGCUGAAAAAGUUUAUCGAGAGUUUUCUACUAUUCUUCAGAGUGAAGGUGACCUUGAUUUUGCCUCCACCAUGGUUCAGGCACUGAAUUUGAUUUUGCUCACAUCUACUGAACUUGCGGAGCUGCGGUCUCUUCUUAAGAAGUCAUUGGUGGAUACUUGUGGGAAGGACUUAUUUCUAUCUUUAUACGCUUCUUGGUGCCACUCUCCAAUGGCUACAAUCAGCUUGUGCUUACUCGCUCAGGUGGCAUACAAUCAUGCGAGUUCUGUUAUUCAGUCUCUGGGAGAAGAAGACAUAAAUGUGAAGUUUCUGGUGCAGCUAGAUAAAUUGAUCCGUCUAUUAGAGACUCCAGUAUUUGCUUACUUGCGUUUACAGCUUCUUGAGCCUGGAAAACACACUUGGCUUCUGAAAACACUUUACGGUCUCCUUAUGCUCUUGCCUCAGCAAAGUGCGGCCUUCAAGAUCUUGAGGACGCGACUGAAGACGGUUCCUUUCAGUGAAAAUCUCAAGCGCACAUCUUCUGCAAAUCCAUACUCUCAGAUUCUACAAGUGACAGAAGAUGGCAAUCGAAAUCAAGAUGCGCCAAACUAUAGCGCAAUCGAUUUUUCAUCUCGUCUCCAGCAAUUUGGGAGCAUGCAGCAGCAGCACCGAAACCAUUUGAAGAAUCAACUGCAAUCUCGAAAAUCCGCUUCAGCAGCAGUGUUAUCACAGGAGAUUCAAAGAUAUGAAGAAUCACAAUCCUCCUCAACACCAGAGAUAAGCAGGCCCCCAUCUAGAGCACCCAAAGCCAUUUCAUGAUGCACAUAUGGUUGCUUGUGAUGUAUGGUACGUUUGCAGGACGCAUCGUCACAAAUUUGUCGGGGCUUGGUUGGUCUCCUUUAGUUUUUUCCAAAGGAGGUUGCAUAGGGGGGGUACAUAGAGUGUAAUCUUUUUUGUUUGGUUCCUAGAUUUUGUCAUGGGAUGGCAAUUAUUUGUUGGAGAAAGCUCGUUUCCAUUCUCCCUUUAGUGAUUCUUAUUUUUUUUUCUUAGAUGUUCUACUGCUCAUCUGGUUUCUGUAAUUUUUCAAUUGAAGGCCAUAUGAGCAUAGUAGUAUCUGGAGAUAUGUUACAACUGUUCUGCGUACCAAUCUCCAAUAAAUUUAGCGAUAUGCGGUGUAAAUUUCUGUCUCUACCUUUGUGGCCUGGUAUAUGUAGCCUUUUGCAAUUAAGCAUGCAUUUUUUAGACCUUGUCCAUACAUCGGUUUAUUUGGGAGCAAGAUCUGCGCUUAACCCUUUGUAUCAACAUAUUAGUUCCAAACUGCUCUCGAAUUGAUCUGCCC
rnacentral:rRNA from 1 species